CAUCGCUCUUCGUGAAAAAAAAAUAAAGAGUCGAACCUGCCCAGUGAAUUUUUUUUAACGGCCGCGGUACUCUGACCGUGCAAAGGUAGCAUAAUCACUUGCCUUAUAAUUGAAGGCUAGUAUGAAUGGUCUGACGAGAGCAACUCUGUCUCCUUUUUAUUUUCUAGAAUUUGACUUUCAGGUGAAGAGGCCUGAAUUUUAUUGAAGGACAAGAAGACCCUGUCGAGCUUAAAAAACUAACAGAAGUACCUAUAUUAUUCAUAAAUAUAUAACUAUUAAUCUUUUUUGGUUGGGGCGACCAAGGAACAAAAAAAGCUUCCUUUUAACUUAUAAACUUAUUCGUUUUGAUCCAGCUAAAGCUGAUUAAAAGAAUUAGUUACCGCAGGGAUAACAGCAUAAUCUCUCUUGAGAGACCAAAUCGAAAGGGGGGGUUGUGACCUCGAUGUUGGACUAGAAUAUCCUAAAGAUGCAGAAGUCUUAAAGGUGUCGUCUGUUCGACCAUUAAAAUUCUAC
rnacentral:rRNA from 1 species